UACGUAGGGUGCAAGCGUUAAUCGGAAUUACUGGGCGUAAAGCGUGCGCAGGCGGUUAUGUAAGACAGAUGGGAAAUGCCCGGGCUUAACCUGGGAACUGCAUUUGUGACUGCAUGGCUAGAGUUUGGCAGAGGGGGGUAGAAUUCCACGUGUAGCAGUGAAAUGCGUAGAUAUGUGGAGGAACACCGAUGGCGAAGGCAGCCCCCUGGGUCGACACUGACGCUCAGGCACGAAAGCGUGGGGAGCAAACAGG
rnacentral:rRNA from 1 species